UACGGAGGGUGCAAACGUUGCUCGGAAUCAUUGGGCGUAAAGCGCACGUAGGCGGCCUGUUAAGUCGGGUGUGAAAGCCCUGGGCUCAACCCAGGAAGUGCACUCGAAACUGGCGGGCUUGAAUAUGGAAGAGGGUCGCGGAAUUCCCGGUGUAGAGGUGAAAUUCGUAGAUAUCGGGAGGAACACCAGUGGCGAAGGCGGCGACCUGGGGAGUACCUGACGCUCAGGUGCGGAAGCCAGGGGAGCGAACGGG
rnacentral:rRNA from 1 species